rnacentral:rRNA from 1 species
CAUGUCUUGUAAUUGGAAUGAGUAGAAUUUAAAUCCCUUUAUGAGUAUCAAUUGGAGGGCAAGUCUGGUGCCAGCAGCCGCGGUAAUUCCAGCUCCAAUAGCGUAUAUUAAAGUUGUUGCAGUUAAAAAGCUCGUAGUUGGAUUUCUGGUGUCGUGUUGUGUCCGUACGAUUAAGUUCGUCUCGAGUUACAUUCACGUCGCCAUCUUUUAACAGAGCUUGCCUGGCAUUAGGUUGUUGGGCAAGUUAUGUUAAUCGUUUACUGUGAAGAAAUUAGAGUGUCCAAAGCAGGCUUAUGCCGUUGAAUACGUUAGCAUGGAAUAAUGAGAUAGGACCUUGAUACUAUUUUGUUGGUUUGCGCAUUAAGGUAAUGAUUAAUAGGGUCAGUUGGGGGUAUUCGUAUUUCGUUGUCAGAGGUGAAAUUCUUGGAUUUACGAAAGACGAACGACUGCGAAAGCAUUUACCAAGGAUGUUUUCAUUAAUCAAGAACGAAAGUUAGGGG